GAUAGUAAAAAGCUGUUCUGCUCGUUGAUUGCUCGCCAUAUGCCUGCUGUGUGCUCGGUAUUUUAUACACAUUAUCUGGAUUGAGUCUUGCAGCCCUGCUCAGAGGUGGGUCCUCGUGUCUUCAGAGCUCAGAGGCGGCGGUGGUGGAAACUCAGGGAGGGGGAAGAGCCCACUGCCCCAGACCUCUGGCCAGCCAAGGUCUCGUGGCCAGCAGUUCCAAGGCUCAGCGAUAAGGCUGCUGCAGAGGAGAUACCAAGGAAGGCCGUCCCGCCACACUGCGCAGGACGGGCCAGUGGCUGCAGUGCCUUCUUCUGGACCGGUGGAAAAGGAACAAAGAAGCUGCAUGAAAAAGGAAGACGUGAGCUGUAUCAUUCCGAGAGAAGCGAAACAGGGAGAGGGGCCGCCCUGGCUUCCCAGAGGACCAGGUGGGAAAGGAUUCCUCCAGGGCUGUGCCGCCUGGGAAGACCAAUCGCCCGGGGCCUGGAUCCCGACAGCAGUCCCACAGCGCCACCUAGUGUCUUCCCGGGAUAACGUGCAUCCCGUCAUCCUCCAGAGCUGGGCCCUGGACCGGAACCCAGAGCACCUCCUACCGGCCAGAUGAAAAUCUGGUUAUCCACAAACGAAUGAAGAGCACUAGAAAUGGCAUGUAUGGGUAUGUGUGUAUAUAUCUAUAU
ensembl:lncRNA